UGUAGAUGUGGCAACCGACUUGGAUGACAUGGCAUUAUUGUGACGAGAUGAAGUGUCUGUUGGCAUUUGUGAGAGGGGGAGAUCUGGUGCGAGCAGGAGUAAAUAGUGGGACUUAAGAUCGUUUGGGUUUUGAUAGUGGGUCUGACUUAAUCCAAUUGGAUCUCGUUAUUGGAGCAUCAGUUUUGGUGAUAAAUAUGGAGUCGAAGGAAUCUAGCAAGGUGCGAGGGAGGAUCGGUUGUUAGAAAAAGUGGAGUUAUGGCCAUAUCUGG
rnacentral:misc_RNA from 1 species